CCUUGUGUUCCAUCACAAGUAGCCUAUGGAUACGUGUAUUUCUGGUAACGGAAUUGUGCGAUGCUAUCCUGAUAAUAUAGCCCAUAAAGAG
rfam:Cyclobacterium lianum strain CGMCC 1.6102 genome assembly, contig: Ga0070154_104